GAGGGUAUAGCUCAGUGGUAGAGCACAUGCUUAGCAUGCAGGAGGUCCUGGGUUCAGUCCCCAGUACUUCCU
rnacentral:tRNA from 1 species